rnacentral:rRNA from 1 species
UACGUAGGGUGCAAGCGUUAUCCGGAAUUAUUGGGCGUAAAGAGCUCGUAGGCGGUUUGUCGCGUCUGCUGUGAAAACCUAAGGCUCAACCUUGGGCUUGCAGUGGGUACGGGCAGACUAGAGUGCGGUAGGGGUGACUGGAAUUCCUGGUGUAGCGGUGGAAUGCGCAGAUAUCAGGAGGAACACCGAUGGCGAAGGCAGGUCACUGGGCCGCAACUGACGCUGGAGGAGCGAAAGCAUGGGGAGCGAACAGG